rnacentral:tRNA from 1 species
AGGGAUAUAGCUCAGUUGGUAGAGUGCUUGCCUCACAUGCACACGGCUCUGGGUUCACUCCCCAGUGCCACCA